rnacentral:tRNA from 1 species
UCUCUGGUGGUCCAGUGGUUGGGACUCUGUGCUUCCAAUGCAGACGGCCUGGGUUUAAUCCUUGGUCGGGGAA